CCCACUUAAACCCCAGCGGCAGUUUAACUUCAAACACCACCAGAUACAUGGCCGCAUGGUAGGCUGCAGCUGCACUAGCCCCCCUGUACUGCAUAGUGUCUCAGCGCUCCACGUGACAGCACACCGCAUAAUGUCCUAUGUGCCGACCUCACCACCUCAAUCUUAUGCAGCCGAGUGUGAACUCAUCUCCAUGAGGGCAGCCCAGACAGCCGAGUGACUGAUCCUGCAGUGCUGCUGACUGGUGAUCGGGAUGUCAGGUCCUGCUGGCUGCUACUGAUCACCGAGCCUCAGAUAGUGCUCCCAUAAAAGAAACAAUCAGACAAGAGAAAUCUCUGGGGAUCACAGAAAUCAUCCUUUUAUCUUCUCCAACCCCUAUAUUAAGACAGAUGAAACAACAGUGUGACUGUGUGGAAGACACCAUGCAGCGAGACCCGCACUCAAAUAUCAAUAGUAUAGUCUAAUUACACUACAAAGAACAAGGCAUUAACCUGUUGCAAGUCAUCUGGAAUUAUCUUUUAUUCUAAAGCCAGUUUGCAUGAAAAUGUUGCCAGUUGUAGCUUAGUUAAACAGCACUUGGAAAAUAUCACUAUCAUGAGCUCCCAAUGGCCAAGGAAUUCCUUCAGUGAUGCAGUCACCACUGCAAUCCAUAGUAUCCACCAGAAGAGAUGCGUAGAUUGUGUCUACCACGUCACAGCGGGAAGAAAAUCAAUUAUUCCAAUAAGCGAGAAUGUCAGCUCUAAUCACUGAGUGUCCAUGAAGACCUGACGACAACAAAUUUCAGCUAAUUGUAUUGAUAAACCUGAAAGAAUAAUCGAUAGACAAUAAACCUUUUAAAGACAUACUCGUCUAUCUCAAGACCCCUGCUGACCCCAGCAACACAUAUCCAUUAUCAGCAGCUAGUGAGAUGACAAAUGUGUGAUACAUCUUCCUGGAGAACAUUUCAUCCUGAACAGUGUGGAAUGCAGAGCCCCCACAAGUAACAUAACAUGGAUGCACCAGAAAUCAUACAUUGCUGGGAAGACUCUACUCACUGGAGCUUACACUCUAUAGAUAAGCAUAACAAAGUAAUGGAGAAUGCGGACAUCAAGCAGGCCACCUACAGAGAAAGAGCUGCUUUGCGAAAUGGAUGCAGGCAUUAUACAUAUUUCUCCCAAAGUACUGUUCUUGCAGUAAGUGGAUUACUAUGCUAGAAAGAGAAUUUUGAACCAGUUAGGAACUCAAUAAAACUAGCUGAUUCAGCUUCAACCGGGCAAAGGUUUGCUGUGUGGAACAAUGUAUUUGGGGUGACAGUGUACCUAUAGCGCUUCACUUGGGUAUAAGCUAGCCUUUCAAUACAUAGAUGGGGUACCCUACCCCACUUC